rnacentral:rRNA from 1 species
UUAAGUAGUAAAGGGCGCACGGAGGAUGCCUUGGCACUAGGAGCCGAUGAAGGACGUGACAAACGACGAAAUGCUACGGGGAGCUGUAAGUAAGCAAAGAGCCGUAGAUAUCCGAAUGGGGGAACCCACCGCUUUUAAAAGGGCGGUACGCGAAAGCGAGGUAACGCAGGGAACUGAAACAUCUAAGUACCUGUAGGAAGAGAAAGAAAAAUCGAUUUCCUAAGUAGCGGCGAGCGAAAAGGAAAGAGCCCAAACCAAUGUGCUUGCAUAUUGGGGUUGUAGGACUCUCAACAAAGUGUAUGACAAAGUAUAGUAGAACUAGCUGGAAAGUUAGACCGUAGAAGGUAAAAGUCCUGUAUACGAAAUGCUAAGUUGGCGCGAGAGAGCACCUGAGUACGGCGGAACACGAGGAAUUCCGUCGGAAUCUACCAGGACCAUCUGGUAAGGCUAAAUACUACCUAGUGACCGAUAGUGAACCAGUACCGUGAGGGAAAGGU